GUGCUUCCUGUUUCUUACCUUGACAUGUACUGAGAGCAAAAACAGUGAUUGUGUGCCGGAUCCAGACACAUCUAUGAGCACAUUGAGCUUAUGGGGGUCCAGCUGGUCCUUUGAUGUUUGAAUGCUCUGUGAUUUCCCUCUGAGCGUGGAUCAGGCCAGUGUGUCUUUUCCAAAUAUUAGUGUGGCCAGGUCUUGGGUGAAAAGAGAAACACGUGACUUGUUGAGUCUUUCAUACAUUUUCUUUGGGACUGUCACAUCAGAAUCAGCAAGAGCAACCAGGGUAGGAGAAAGAAACAAACAGGGGUAUUAUAACAGUGAUUCGAAAGUAAACACCAGAUACUACUGGAUUAUAUGAAGUGGUCAUACAUACAUACAAACAAGCAAGUUAAAGACAUCUUUGAGAGAGGCAACAAUCCCAUGAAUAAAGAAAUACUGUAUAGGAUUAGCUGAUUUACCAUAAUGCCUUAUUGCUGCAUUUACCUAUUUGCCAGUUAAUGUUAGAUAUUUCUGAAAUAUGACCACUGUUAUUAGUGGUUGAGUGAGUUUGUAUCUAGUUUGAAUUAAGCCUCAGUUAUGACACCAGUUAAGUCAUGUCUAACAGAAAUGUGAUUUAGUAUGGUAGUUAUAUUCUAUAAUGGUAAGGCCUUAAUCUGUUGAAUACAUAUAAAUUUUACUAAUUAUUUGAUUUAUCUGUGUUGUAGAAGCACACACAUACAAGUCUACUCAGCUUGUGUUUUAAUAAAUAACUAAAAGGAACAUCUUGUCUGGACUGCAAAGCAAGCGAUGACCACUUAAAUUAUAUACAGUCCUUUUCCAAUCACCAAAACGCAGAUGCUUAGCUGAUGCUUCGUAUUAGCUUCAGGUAAACUUUAGAAUUAAUUUAUACAAAAAUUACAACUUAGCUGAUGCUUCGUAUUAGCUUCAGGUAAACUUUAGAAUUAAUUUAUACAAAAACUACAACUUUAGAUGGCCCAUAUGAUCUUUACAGACCAUAUGGGAAAGAAUAAUGAUUACUGUGACCAAUAACCUCCUCAAUAUAAACAUGGAUAUGUGGGUAUUCUAUUAAUGUAGAAAAUAAAAAUGUCAACCUAUUCUUCAGCAUACAGGUAGCUAUAUUAAUUUAAUUUAUACUCUACUAUAUUAAAGGCCUUACUGAUCAGCCUAACUAACUAGCUAAAUGAAGUGCUCAUACACACACCUGCACAGGCUUAAAUCACUUCUAUAACGUAUCCAACGAAAGUUGAAAUCAAGGGCAACUGGACUUGGUUGAAGAUACUGGAAGACGUUUUGUCCCUCAUCCAAAAGGACUUCUUCAGUUCUGCUGCAGUUCUGAACUGAAGAAGUCCUUUGGCAGACGAAAUUCACUCUCUCGAUUAUAAAGCUAUUCAGAUGGUAGUCAAAGUUACAUCAGUAGUUAAUUCACAUAAUAAAAUCCAUGUGUUAGCUAGUUACAUAUAUAGCUAGCAUUAGCUAACAUUAAUGUUAAUGUACACCAGUACUAUCCACAUAGAAAAAAUAGUGUGAGCUCAACGUUAGUAACUUACAAUAAUAAACUUACCACCAAGAAGGAGUAUUUUCGCAGGCAGUGUUUGCUUCUGUUCUCUCCUGCUUCUACUUGGCAGGCACACCUCUAUGUAGCCUUCUUCACAUUGAAGUUGUUCGCGGGAGCUGACCUGAUAUUCCAGUCUUCUGUGCUCUUUUCUUAUAAUAUCGGUGGUGUCCACCUUCGCCAAGUCCGAGUCGGGAAAGUAAUAUAAAGCAAACUUGGGAAACGACAUGAUUUCUGGCAAUUAUUAUGUUUGCUUUCCUCUCAGUGACUUGAUAGUGACCUGACUGUACUUUCAUGCGGCGAACUUUCACGUGCUGUGAUUGGCGCAUCUAUUUGAAAACCUUGUUUCUGAUUGGUCAAACUGAAUGUACUGCGCCAUAAAAACUCUCCACCGCGGUAAUGGACUGGGCGGGAGGGCACACACUCGCUGUACGGAAGAUGUUGACAAGAUGGACAGCCAGCUGAGGAGACAAAAUCUACAAACAAAUGGAAAAACCAAUGCCCACUGACAGACACGAAGAAAUACAAAUCUUACCUUGAGGCACCUGAUAAAUAGGUUCCAAAAACCACAGGCCUUAGACGAUUAAAGGAGAUCGAUAAGCUCCCUAUUCAUUGAAUAACAAUGAAAAUGACAGUGUACACAGUUCUCAGUGCCAAAGACCUGCUAAAAGAUACAGAAUGGAAAGCCAUGUGCAGGUAAUUGUUGUGGUGGCAGCCCGGCUGACGGUGAGUGUCCUGUUUUUUUUCUCCU